CCUACGGGGGGCAGCAGUGGGGAAUAUUGCACAAUGGGGGAAACCCUGAUGCAGCGACGCCGCGUGAGUGAAGAAGUAUUUCGGUAUGUAAAGCUCUAUCAGCAGGGAAGAAAAAAGACGGUACCUGACUAAGAAGCCCCGGCUAACUACGUGCCAGCAGCCGCGGUAAUACGUAGGGGGCAAGCGUUAUCCGGAUUUACUGGGUGGAAAGGGAGCGUAGACGGUAUGGCAAGUCUGAAGUGAAAGCCCAGGGCUUAACCCUGGGACUGCUUUGGAAACUGUUAGACUAGAGUGCUGGAGAGGUAAGUGGAAUUCCUAGUGUAGCGGUGAACUGCGUAGAUAUUAGGAGGAACACCAGUGGCGACGGCGGCUUACUGGACAGUAACUGACGUUGAGGCUCGAACGCGUGGGGAGCAAACAGGAUUAGAUACCCGGGUAGUC
rnacentral:rRNA from 1 species